rnacentral:rRNA from 1 species
GAUGAACGCUGGCGGCGUGCCUAAUACAUGCAAGUCGAGCGAACAGACGAGGAGCUUGCUCCUCUGACGUUAGCGGCGGACGGGUGAGUAACACGUGGAUAACCUACCUAUAAGACUGGGAUAACUGCGGGAAACCGGAGCUAAUACCGGAUAAUAUAUUGAACCGUAUGGUUCAAUAGUGAAAGACGGUUUUGCUGUCACUUAUAGAUGGAUCCGCGCCGCAUUAGCUAGUUGGUAAGGUAACGGCUUACCAAGGCAACGAUGCGUAGCCGACCUGAGAGGGUGAUCGGCCACACUGGAACUGAGACACGGUCCAGACUCCUACGGGAGGCAGCAGUAGGGAAUCUUCCGCAAUGGGCGAAAGCCUGACGGAGCAACGCCGCGUGAGUGAUGAAGGUCUUCGGAUCGUAAAACUCUGUUAUUAGGGAAGAACAAAUGUGUAAGUAACUAUGCACGUCUUGACGGUACCUAAUCAGAAAGCCACGGCUAACUACGUG